rnacentral:rRNA from 1 species
CCGUGUUCGAAAGGGAAACAGCCCAGACCACCAGCUAAGGUCCCAAAAUAUAUGUUAAGUGGAAAAGGAUGUGGCGUUGCCCAGACAACUAGGAUGUUGGCUUAGAAGCAGCCAUCAUUUAAAGAGUGCGUAAUAGCUCACUAGUCGAGUGACACUGCGCCGAAAAUGUACCGGGGCUAAACAUAUUACCGAAGCUGUGGAUUGUCCUUUGGACAAUGGUAGGAGAGCGUUCUAAGGGCGUUGAAGCAUGAUCGUAAGGACAUGUGGAGCGCUUAGAAGUGAGAAUGCCGGUGUGAGUAGCGAAAGACGGGUGAGAAUCCCGUCCACCGAUUGACUAAGGUUUCCAGAGGAAGGCUCGUCCGCUCUGGGUUAGUCGGGUCCUAAGCUGAGGCCGACAGGCGUAGGCGAUGGAUAACAGGUUGAUAUUCCUGUACCACCUAUAAUCGUUUUAAUCGAUGGGGGGACGCAGUAGGAUAGGCGAAGCGUGCGAUUGGAUUGCACGUCUAAGCAGUAAGGCUGAGUAUUAGGCAAAUCCGGUACUCGUUAAGGCUGAGC